UACGGGGGGGGCAAGCGUUGUUCGGAAUUACUGGGCGUAAAGGGCUCGUAGGCGGCCAACUAAGUCAUACGUGAAAUCCCUCGGCUUAACCGGGGAACUGCGUCUGAUACUGGAUGGCUUGAGUUCGGGAGAGGGAUGCGGAAUUCCAGGUGUAGCGGUGAAAUGCGCAGAUAUCAGGAGGAACACCGAUGGCGAAGGCAGGUCUCUGGGCCACUACUGACGCUGAGAAGCGAAAGCGUGGGGAGCGAACAGG
rnacentral:rRNA from 1 species